rnacentral:rRNA from 1 species
AUGCGCCACGUGCUGCCGGCCGUCCACCGGGCCGUCUCGCGCGGGGCGCGGGCGGCGGCGAUGGGGUCGUCGGCGGGGGCGGGGGCGAGGGACCCGGGCGGGAACCCGACGGUGGGGAGGCUGCGGGAGAUCUUCCGGGGCGGCGGCGACGCGGCAGAUGGCUGGGAGAAGUCCUGGGAGACUGGCGUAACCCCGUGGGAUCUGGGGAAGCCGACGCCUAUCAUCGAGCAUCUCGUUAAAUCAGGAACUCUCCCUAAAGGAAGGGCGUUGGUCCCGGGAUGUGGCAUGGGUUAUGAUGUGGUUGCUUUGGCAAGCCCUGAGAGAUUUGUCGUUGGCUUAGAGAUUUCUAAUAUAGCUGCUGAGAAGGCUAAGCAGUGGUCAUCAUCUUUGCCAAAUGCAGAUUGGUUUACUUUUCUGGUUGCUGAUUUCUUCAAGUGGAGACCAAGUGAACCAUUUGACCUCAUUUUCGAUUAUACGUUCUUUUGUGCACUUGAUCCGAGCAUGAGGCUGGCUUGGGCAGAGACAGUUAGUCGCCUUCUGAAACCAGAUGGAGAGCUUAUCACCUUGAUAUAUUUGAUCAGCGAUCAAGAAGGGGGGCCGCCCUACAAUAAUACAGUUGCUGACUAUCAGAAGGUGCUGGAGCCGCUGGGUUUCAAGGCUGUUUGUAUGGAAGACAACGAGCUCGCUAUUAAACCGCGCAAGGGUGUCGAGAAACUUGGAAGGUGGAAGAGAUGCGGCAGGCCGCAAUCUUCUUUGUGA